AUGAGGGUCCUUACUAAGCUCCUUGGGCUGCUGCUGCUGCUGCUCUGGUUUUCAGGGGUGAAAUGUGCCAUCCAGAUGACCCAGUCUCCACCGACUCUAUCUGUUUCUCCUGGAGACAGAGUAACCAUCACUUGCCAUGCCAAUCAGAACAUUAAUAGGUUGUUGGUCUGGUACCAACAGAAACCAGGGUAUGCACCUAAGCAACUAAUCUAUGAGGUAUCCAGUCUACAAACUGGAGUCCCAUCAAGGUUCAGUGGCAGUGGAUCUGGAACAGAUUACUCCUUCACCAUCAGCAGCCUGCAGCUUGACGAUGUUGCUACUUACUACUGUCAACAGUAUCUGGGCUCUCUCCCACAGUGA